CUGGGCGUAAAGCGGGCGCAGACGGUUACUUAAGCAGGAUGUGAAAUCCCCGGGCUCAACCUGGGAACUGCGUUCUGAACUGGGUGACUAGAGUGUGUCAGAGGGAGGUAGAAUUCCACGUGUAGCAGUGAAAUGCGUAGAGAUGUGGAGGAAUACCGAUGGCGAAGGCAGCCUCCUGGGAUAACACUGACGUUCAUGCCCGAAAGCGUGGGUAGCAAACAGGAUUAGAUACCCUGGUAGUCCACGCCCUAAACGAUGUCGAUUAGCUGUUGGGCAGCUUGACUGCUUAGUAGCGAAGCUAACGCGUGAAAUCGACCGCCUGGGGAGUACGGUCGCAAGAUUAAAACUCAAAGGAAUUGACGGGGACCCGCACAAGCGGUGGAUGAUGUGGAUUAAUUCGAUGCAACGCGAAGAACCUUACCUGGUCUUGACAUGUACGGAACCCUCCAGAGACGGAGGGGUGCCUUCGGGAGCCGUAACACAGGUGCUGCAUGGCUGUCGUCAGCUCGUGUCGUGAG
rnacentral:rRNA from 1 species